rnacentral:rRNA from 1 species
UGUCAUAAAAAAGUUUUUAUGGUAGUACCUGCUCUAUGUUUUUAUAAAUGGCCGCAGUAUCUUGACUGUGCAAAGGUAGCAUAAUUAAUUGCCUUAUAAUUGAAGGCUUGUUUGAAUGGUUUGACGUGGUAAUCACUAAUAUUUAUUUUUUUAUUGAAAUUGGUCUAGAGGGCACAGAAUCCUCUUUAUUUUAAUUAGACGGAAAGACCCCAGGAUCUUUUAUUUUUUGUCUGGGGCAGAUUUAAAUAUUUUAUUUGUAUUUAGACCCUCUUUGGUUUAAUGAUUAAGUUACCCUGGGGAUAACAGUGUAAUAGUUUAUUAGAGACCUUAUCGAAUAAAUUGUUUGCUACCUCGAUGUUGACUUAGGUAAGUAAGUUAGGCGCAGUAGUCUAAUAUUUUGGUCUGUUCGACCUUUGUUACCUCC